rnacentral:rRNA from 1 species
CAAUAGCGUAUAUUAAAGUUGUUGCGGUUAAAAAGCUCGUAGUUGGAUUUCUGCUGAGAACGACCGGUCCGCCCUCUGGGUGUGUAUCUGGCUCUUUCUUGGCAUCUUCUUGGUGAACGUUGCUGCACUUGACUGUGUGGAGCGCUACCCAGGACUUUUACUUUGAGGAAAUUAGAGUGUUUCAAGCAGGCAUACGCCUUGAAUACAUUAGCAUGGAAUGAUAAGAUAGGACCUCGGUUCUAUUUUGUUGGUUUCUAGAGCUGAGGUAAUGAUUAAUAGGGAUAGUUGGGGGCACCUGUAUUGCGUUGUCAGAGGUGAAAUUCUUGGAUUUACGCAAGACAAACAGCUGCGAAAGCGUCUGCCAAGGAUGUUUUCAUUAA